UACCAGCAGAGUAUGAGGGUUUUAUUUUAUCCUAGUCAACAACAAAGAAUGCUAAUCCUUAAUUAGAACCAUGAUAAAGAACAAGUAAUCUAUUUUCUUGUUUUCCAUCAGAUGUUAUGAACAUUGAUUGCUCUUAAGGAGCCUUUCAUUUUGUUUUUUAGCACGCUCAAUUAUUUCAAGAUCCCUUCCUGUCUAAAAGGAUCACUCACAUUUCAGAGAAGGAAUUUUGUUUGUGGAAUGAAUCCAUGAAAGAGAGCAGGGAGAGAGCCUGAUUCAGCAGCCUUGUACAGGUACAGCAGGAACUGUGGAAGGCAGGCAUUUUGUGACUGCAGCAGAAAGUGGCCUGCGGCAUCUACCAAGCUUCAGAACGACUCGAAGAGGAAAUUGGAGAUGCAGAUUCCUGGGUGCUGCCCCCAAGUGAUUCUGAUGCAGUUGUGUUUGGGACCCCACACCAGCCCUCCUGAACGCUUCCACAGGGAGAUGGAAAUAUUGGUUUACUUCUCUCUUAAGUGAAGAUGAAAAAUGAGACAAACCAAGCAAAACAAACAUCUGAAAUCCAGUCUCUACAAUUAUUUGCAAACAGAACAAGUCUUUGCAUGGAUUUGAGAACUUGGCCAUGGAAUCAAAGCCAGGGGUAAAAACUUGUACAAUAGUCCCUCCUCAUCUGUGGGAGAUACAUUCCAAGACCUCCAGUGGAUGCCUAAAACCUCAGAGAGAACUACAUCUGGCACUAACAGCAACAACAGAAGCGAGCCAAGUAUUCUGGAAAAAAGGUUUGACACAGAAACACUUGGGAGAACUUGAUGUCAUCAAGAAUAAAUCCAACCCAACAGAAUAUAAAGUCAACACAUGGACAGAAGGUAAGUGUUUGUGAUGUUGACAAAGUAUAUGCAGAAUUGCACAUAGCUUACUCCUGGGGACACACACACGGGGGGGAGAGAAUGAGAGAGAGAAUGAG